GCCGAGGUAGCGCGAGCCGCGGUAGCAGCAGCCGUCGACGCGAGCACGGCCCAACCGUCACCGUCAUUUCGACGUCGUGGACACUUUCUUGCCGCCGGAUCGUCCACGCGGAAAUUCGUUCUCGUCGCGGACUAGCCUUGUUCUAUUUUAGCUUGUACCAGGCAUUGUACGCGUCUUGAGCCGAUCCUGCUUCCGGUAGAACGUGAGCCGCGCGCGAAAAGUGAUCCCCAGUGGUGUGUUCGCCUUUUAACUGGAAAGGUAGCGAUACGAAGACUCCGGGUCGGACAGCCGAUCGAACACUCGAAGCGUUUCGCCAAACGCGUCAUCUUCAGCAGCCACUCUCUCGCUACAUCCGCUGAUCCAUCGUCGUUCUGUCACCUCUAGUCGCUCAGAUUCCGUGUCAGAGAAGACAAACUCAGCGAAGACGGUAACCUACUAAAAUCGAGCCGAAGGGAAGAAGCUAAAAAGGAAAAUAAAACCGAGAAAGGAAAAGAAACUAGAACUGAAGAGAAGAAAUAUCAGAGAAAAUAUAAGAGAAGAGGAGGGUGGUGCGUAGUGGAAGCAGAAGAGUUAGGUCGUGAGGGGUCCAAGAAGCGUAGCGUUUGGGUGUGAUGUGGCGGAGCCCCCCGGGGGGCCGCGGGGGCAGGAGGUUCGAGGCAGAUCGGUCGUGAGGGCCCCAGGCACGGCUCGGUUGCCCCGCGGCGAGGUCGCCGGAGGGGCGGAGGAGGAUAUAGGAUGGUGUGACCUCCUGCGUUAUCCCGCCCGACGCGGAGGUGGUGUUGGAGGUGGCGGUGGCGGUGGUGGAGGAGGCGGCGGUGGAGCCGAGCAGCUGCUGCUCGACUCGCAGGAGGAGGAGCCGACGGCGAUGUCGAGGCAGCUUCGCGGUGAACGGGACCACGUGAGCCGUUGCGACCUCCGAGAACGCGACCUCCGAGAACGCGACCUCCGCGACUUUCGGGACCUACGCGAUAUCAGGGACCCUCGGGACCUUAGGGACUUUCGAGACAUCCGGGACAUUAGGGACGACAGGGACGACACGGAGAGAAGUCGGGACGAUUACCUGGAUUACGAUCAUCAUCCUACCGCUGCGUCUACCUCGGCACUCACUAACAAUCCGGAAAGGUCGAACGGGAGGGCCACGCUGCACGAGGGUCGCGAUGAACUACAAUUAGUGAAUCUGUGCGUACCUCCGAGAUCGGCGAUCGUCGGCUCGGCAGACUCGAACUACUCACAGCCGAGCUCGGAUCUCUCGCUGGACGAGGAGAAAGAGAGCUUGCGUCGUGAGAAGGAGAGGCAGGCCCUCAAUCAACUUGAAAAAGCCAGGACGAAAGCGGUAGCGUUUGCAGUGCGGACCAAUGUGAGCUAUGACGGAUCUGUCGACGAUGAUUCGCCUGUCCAUGGCUCGGCUAUCAGCUUCGAGGUCCGCGACUUCCUGCACAUCAAGGAGAAGUACGACAACAAUUGGUGGAUAGGUAGGCUGGUGAAAGAGAACGCGGACGUCGGCUUCAUCCCAUCCCCGGUGAAAUUAGAGGCCCUGAGGCAGCAGGCGAGCGCUGCACGUGGUACAAAGGGUCUCUAUUCGGCACGUGGAGGGUCUUCAGGGAACCUUGGCGAGAGUGGUAUGCCCUCACGUGGUUCCACACCACCUACACCAGGUGACGACAGUGACAGCGUCCGCGGCGGUAAGGCAACGUUGACCACGCCACCGGCUAAGGAGAAACGGAAGAACUUCUUCAAGAAGCCGGAAACGACCACGCCGUACGACGUUGUACCAUCUAUGAGGCCUGUCGUCCUGGUCGGUCCAUCGUUGAAAGGUUAUCAGGUGACGGACAUGAUGCAAAAGGCGUUGUUUGAUUAUUUGAAACAUCGGUUCCGAGGCAGAAUAAUUAUCACUAGGGUAAUGGCAGACAUUUCACUGGCAAAGAGAUCGUUGCUGAACAAUCCAUCAAAACGAGCGAUCAUGGAACGAUCCACGAGCAGGAGCAGUUGUUUGGCGGAAGUUCAAGCUGAGAUCGAGAGGAUUUUUGAGCUUGCCAGAACCCUUCAGUUGGUAGUUUUGGACUGCGAUACCAUCAAUCAUCCGUCACAGUUAGCUAAGACCAGCCUGGCGCCAACGAUCGUCUACCUGAAGAUUUCGUCACCUAAAGUGCUCCAAAGGUUGAUCAAGUCGCGUGGAAAGUCGCAGAUCAGACAUCUGAACGUACAAAUGGUGGCUGCUGAGAAAUUGGCUCAGUGUCCUACAGAGAUGUUCGACGUGAUCUUGGAUGAGAAUCAGCUGGAGGAAGCCUGCGAACACGUGGCUGAGUACCUGGAAGCUUACUGGAGGGCCACGCAUCCUCAAGUGAUCGCUACAGUGCCACGUCCGAUCCCUGCACCGGAUGCACCGGUCGACGCGUUAACACCUCGCGUCACAUCAGGUGCCCAUCAUGAGAGUUACUACGGCCACGAGCCAAGAGGAUCAGGAUCGUACAGCGGCGGACACAUGAGCGAGGGAACUCGAAAGUCGAGGCUGGAGAGGAUGGAUCGUGAUCGGGGCGAUCGUAGUGAACACGACUACGGCAACGAGGAGGAAUCGUACGUCAGUGGCGUCGAUUACGGGAGCGCGUCGAGGCGUCGCCAGCAGCAAGAUCCGCGCGCAUUGAAUGCCAUUUAGGAGCUGGGGCCCCGGGGCCUGUCGCUACAGCGCUGUCCCCACCUGCGCACCACUGCUCUUUAGUGGGGUCGCCACCUGGAAUUCCGCAUAACGAUGGGCGGAUUGAAACGAAUAAUCGAAUGUCCUUGUCGAUGAGGUACGCACAGGAUAAAUCCCCCAUUCGCGGAGCCAGCUCAACGAGAUGAGUAUUGACAUGAGAACAGUCACGUGAACAAAGCUAAAGAGAAACACACUUUUAAGAAUGAGAAAGAGUGAGAGAGAAGGGAGAGCAUGAGAAUAAGAGAGAAAGGAAAGGAGAGAAAAAGAGCCCUGGGGCCUUAAUCUUUGCGCUGACUCCUCCCGGGCCCCUAUUACCCAACCCCACGAGAAACAUCAGAUUUUUGAAAUCAAUGAUUUAUCAGCCAGCUAGGGGAACUCGUGAAUCGGCAUCGGGUCUUCAUUAAACGCCACGAGAUUUUCGCUCGAAAUUAGGUAGACGAUCGUCCGGAGCUAAUUGAACGAAGAAAAAAAAAAAAGAAAAAACAAAGAAAGAAGGGAGUAUAAAAUAAAAUCAUGAGAAACGAACAAAAAAGAGAAAUCAUAGGAAAAAGAAAUGAGAAACUUCGAUUUGAAUUUCGCGUAGAAUUCUUUCAAUUCGGCCGACAGAACAGCGAUAGUUGCUUCGAUUUAGAGAGAAGAGAUGAGAAACGAGGAAAAUGAUCUCUAGUCGAUUUACCUUAGGAUCGAUCGCAUGAUUAAAUUCUUAAUUCUAGAAAUUUUAGAAAUGUCGCGUAUUCGUCACGAGGUUCGAACAGAAUUUCACGAUAUCACGAUCGAGUAUAAAAGAAAUUCGACAAAAAUAAAAUAAUGAAACGAAUUAACGUUGCGUGGCGAUAGGUUGGGAUCAGAGAUAAUCAAUCAUUAUUGUCGUACGCGAUUAAAAGUUUUCGAUUAUCGAUACGAUGGCGCGUUGAUGAUCACCGCGCUAGGCUCACGUGUUUAUACGUUUUAUUAGAGUCUAUUUGGUGAAAUGUGAAUACAAAUACACACACACACACAUACACACACGUGUUACACAUGCACAGACAGGUAUACACGGGCACACGCACACGAGAACACACAGUGAAACACAUUUUGUGUAUAUAGUAUACAUAUAUAAAUAAUAAUAUAAUAUAUAUAUAUAUAUAUAAAUAUAUUGUAUACGUAUGUA